GACGAACGCUGGCGGCGUGCUUAACACAUGCAAGUCGAACGGAAAGGCCCUGCUUUUGUGGGGUGCUCGAGUGGCGAACGGGUGAGUAACACGUGAGUAACCUGCCCUUGACUUUGGGAUAACUUCAGGAAACUGGGGCUAAUACCGGAUAGGAGCUCCUGCUGCAUGGUGGGGGUUGGAUAGUUUCGGCGGUUGGGGAUGGACUCGCGGCUUAUCAGCUUGUUGGUGGGGUAGUGGCUUACCAAGGCUUUGACGGGUAGCCGGCCUGGGUGGGUGACCGGCAACAUUGGGACUGAGAUAGGGCCCGGACUCCUACGGGAGGCGGAAGUGGGGAAUAUUGCACAAUGGGCGGAGGCCUGAUGAAGCAACGCCGGGGGCGGGAUGACGGCCUUCGGGUUGUAAACCGCUUUCGCAUGUGACGAAGCGUGAGUGACGGUAAUGGGUAAAGAAGCAACGGCUAACUACGUG
rnacentral:rRNA from 1 species